UUCUGGAAAGAGAGAGAGAGGAGCUUUGGAGAGAAGAAAAACUAAUUUUGACCAAAAUCCGAGCCCCGAAUCCCGAAGCCCAUGAAGGGAAAAGUGUUGUACGCUGCGUUGUCUUCAAUUUGAACUAAAAAUCAACCAAGGAGGAGGGUCAUAACGUGGUGGCUGAAUUCUUAAGAUUUUGGGCGAAACGGGAAUUGAAUUUGGAAAGGCGUAAAGAGCAUACAAGGUACAAACGACAGGUUUGCUGAUCCGCCCGCUUAGGACUUUAUUCUGCUAUUUUGGAGCGCUCCUUUAUCCGGAGCCCAUAUUUUGGUACAGUCUUCUGCUAUCGUAUAUAUGUACAUUAUUCAGGGGUACGACGGGGCCCUGUCCCGUCUUAUGAUUCUGUUAUGUUCUGUAGAGGUCUGUAGACAUACUUGUGUGGGUUCUGUAUAUGUUUUGGAUGAUAUGAUCUGUGACAGCCUUAUCGGCUUCCAUGUACUAUGUCGGUUCAUUUAUGAUAAUUACUAACGCCAA